rnacentral:snRNA from 1 species
UACCUUGCCCAUGUAAUUGUAACCCCUCUGUACAGUAUGUUCACAAUAAAAAAUAAAAAUUAAAAAAAAUUCUCCCCGAUAGAGGAGGACCAGUCUUCGGUCAAGGGUAUAUGAGUAGCUGGGCUCCCCUGCUAGAACCGUCAAACAAGCUCUCAAGAAUGUUAUUUUUAAGAGAUUCUUAAGUAUGCAGAGAGGCAGUAGCUACCAUAAAAAUAAAAAAACAGAAUAUAAAUAUUGUUCUCAUUU